rnacentral:rRNA from 1 species
GAUGAACGCUGGCGGCGUGCUUAACACAUGCAAGUCGAGCGAGAAGUUUUGAAAAGAUUCUUCGGAUGGAAUUUAAAAUGGAAAGCGGCGGACGGGUGAGUAACGCGUAGGCAACCUGCCCCAUACAAAGGGAUAGCAUUUGGAAACGAAUAUUAAUACCUUAUGAAACUUAUCUAGUGCAUGCUAGGUAGGUCAAAGAAUUAUAGGUAUGGGAUGGGCCUGCGUCUGAUUAGCUAGUUGGUGAGGUAACGGCUCACCAAGGCGACGAUCAGUAGCCGACCAGAGGAGGUGAACGGCCACAUUGGAACUGAGACACGGUCCAGACUCCUACGGGAGGCAGCAGUGGGGAAUAUUGCACAAGGGGGGAAACCCUGAUGCAGCAACGCCGCGUGAACGACGAAGGCCUUUGGGUCGUAAAGUUCUGUUCUAGGUGAUGAAAACUGACAGUACCCUAGGAGAAAGCCCCGGCUAACUCCGUG